rnacentral:rRNA from 1 species
ACCAGACUCCUACGGGAGGCAGCAGUGGGGGAUAUUGCACAAUGGGGGAAACCCUGAUGCAGCAACGCCGCGUGAGUGAAGAAGUAUUUCGGUAUGUAAAGCUCUAUCAGCAGGGAAGAGAAUGACGGUACCUGACUAAGAAGCCCCGGCUAACUACGUGCCAGCAGCCGCGGUAAUACGUAGGGGGCGAGCGUUAUCCGGAUUUACUGGGUGUAAAGGGAGCGUAGACGGCUGGUCAAGUCUGAAGUGAAAGCCCGGGGCUUAACCCCGGAACGGCUUUGGAAACUGAGCAGCUAGAGUGCUGGAGAGGUAAGCGGAAUUCCUAGUGUAGCGGUGAAAUGCGUAGAUAUUAGGAGGAACACCAGUGGCGAAGGCGGCUUACUGGACAGUAACUGACGUUGAGGCUCGAAAGCGUGGGGAGCAAACAGGAUUAGAUACCCUAGUA